GAUACGGGCCAGACUCCUACGGGAGGCAGCAGUGAGGAAUAUUGCCCAAUGGACGAAAGUCUGAGGCAGCAACGCCGCGUGAGCGAUGAAGGCCUUCGGGUUGUAAAGCUCUUUUCUGGGGGACGAGAGAGGACGGUACCUCAGGAAUAAGUCACGGCUAACUACGUGCCAGCAGCCGCGGUAAUACGUAGGUGGCGAGCGUUAUCCGGAUUCACUGGGCGUAAAGCGCGUGCAGGCGGUUCCGUAAGUCGGACGUGAAAGCUCCUGGCUUAACUGGGAGAGGUCGUUCGAUACUGCGGGACUUGAGGUUGGGAGAGGGAUGUGGAAUUCCCGGUGUAGUGGUGGAAUGCGUAGAGAUCGGGAGGAACACCAGUGGCGAAGGCGGCAUCCUGGCCCAUACCUGACGCUGAGACGCGAAAGCGUGGGGAGCGAACGGGAUUAGAUACCCCGGUAGUCCACGCCGUAAACGGUGGAUACUAGGUGUUGGUGGCUAUCGUCAUCAGUGCCGUAGCUAACGCGUUAAGUAUCCCGCCUGGGAACUACGGCCGCAAGGCUAAAACUCAAAGGAAUUGACGGGGGCCCGCACAAGCAGCGGAGCGUGUGGUUUAAUUCGAGGCAACACGAAGAACCUUACCUGGGUUUGACAUGUACGUAGUAGUGAAGCGAAAGCGGAUCGAUCCUUCGGGAAGCGUACACAGGUGCUGCAUGGCUGUCGUCAGCUCGUGCCGUGAGGUGUUCGGUUAAGUCCGGUAACGAGCGCAACCCUCGCUGUUAGUUACAUGUGUCUAACGGGACUGCCGGUUUAAUGCCGGAGGAAGGUGGGGAUGACGUCAAGUCAGCAUGGCCUUUAUGUCCAGGGCUACACACACGCUACAAUGGCCGGUACAAUGGGUUGCCAAGCCGCGAGGUGGAGCUAAUCCCCCAAAGCCGGUCUCAGUUCGGAUUGCAGGCUGCAACUCGCCUGCAUGAAGUUGGAGUUGCUAGUAACCGCGCGUCAGCUAUAGUGCGGUGAAUGCGUUCCCGGGCCUUGUACACACCGCCCGUCACGUCAUGGGAGCUGGUAACACCUGAAGCCGGUGGGCUAACCGUAAGGAGGCAACUGUCGAAGGUGGGACUGGUGACUGGGACGAAGUCGUAACAAGGUAGCCGUAGCGGAAGCUGCGGCUG
rnacentral:rRNA from 1 species